AUGAUGGACCCUAUGUUGGCGUACUCGAUCGAGCGGAAGCUCGACGAAACCAACUGCCGUAUUCUGCACUGCAUGUGUCAGUGUCUUCGUGAAUGGUAUCCAGAAUGGCAUUUUGCCACUUAUCCCUGGAAUUAUAAGUACAACACUGGUAUGCAUCAGAACUGCAGCAUUUCUGACAGCAAUUUCCAUGUACUCCACUACAUCAAAGAAUUUGAUGGUGUGAUGCUGAGGAAAAUCCCAACUUGGCAAACCUUUCCAUUAGGAUGGAAUUGGUAUACAAGCAUACAAUUAGUAAUAGACUUGCUGCCUUCAGGGUUUGAUUGCAUACAUAAGGAUGCAGAUGGCAUACGAAAUUCUCACCUUAAAAGGAAACGAGGGAGACUUCCCAAACUACAUGUAUGGUGGCAUCCUGGAGUAGAUUUCAGUUUGCAAUGA
rnacentral:rRNA from 1 species